rnacentral:tRNA from 1 species
UUUGUCUUGGCAGAGUGGUUUAGGUGAAAUAUUUUGGGAUCUUCCCGCGCAGAUUCGAAUCCUGCCGACAACG